ensembl:antisense Gm15600 predicted gene 15600
AUACUGAAGGUGUCAGAAGAUCAAGGUCAUGGAGCUGCUAGUAUCUUAAACAAGUAGAUAAAAUCUGGAGGAUUUAAAUAAUCCAGGUGGUCAGAAAUGCAGUGCCGAUUAUAAUUCAAACUCAGCUUAGGAGGCAGCUUCUCUUCCUUGGAAUACCCUGUUAGACAACACAGGCUGUGUAAAGGUUGUCUAUGGCAGCCCUGUGCUGAAGAUUACAUACUUAGAAACAGUUCAAGGAAAGGCAGUCUUUGAUGUUUGACCUUCAUCUGUGUCUUGGAUUGUGGUAACUUUCAAAGAAGACAGGCUUCUAGGAAACAUGAAACCUGAAGGAUUUCUCUGUCACAGAGCACCUCUGGCCUGUAAUGAUUUAGUUUACCUCCUGAACUUAUAGAAGACCAUCUAAACACCACAUUCUCCUUUAUGCAAUUCAGAGGCAGUUUUGGAUUACAGAAAGUCAAGUCAGUAGAGUCAGGCUUGCAGGUCCAUCUCUGGAUGAUGUCGGGGAUAGACCGUAUUCCUUCAUUGUGGAUCAGAAUAAUGAGGACAAGCAAAAGAACACUCAGAGCCUGUGUGUUUGCAGGUUGAUUCUGCACUGCAACAAUAGAAACUCUGGUUCCCAGGAGAGCAGCAAAGUGAAAUGGUUGAUUACACUUCUCAAAGUUUGACCUUGGUUUUAUAUAUAAAGUUUUCAUGUGUGCAAACAAAUGAAAGAAAUAAGCACAUAUACAUAUAUACAUGCUUGUUUAUCCACAGUAAACACCUGGAAUGGCACAGACCCAGUGCUUUUGAGGACAAGGGGUUUGCUGCAGAAAGAUCUAAUUUUUAUUUAAUACCAACAUGCCCUUGUAGGAAAUGU